rnacentral:tRNA from 1 species
GCCUUCGUGGUGUAGUGGUCAGCACACUCGGCGCGUAACCGAGAGGUCCGUGGUUCGAAUCCCGGCGAAGGCG